rnacentral:rRNA from 1 species
AACGAACGCUGGCGGCAGGCCUAACACAUGCAAGUCGAACGCCGUAGCAAUACGGAGUGGCAGACGGGUGAGUAACGCGUGGGAACAUACCCCUCGGUUCGGAAUAACUCAGGGAAACUUGAGCUAAUACCGGAUACGUCCGAUGUUUUAAUCGACCUUGGAGAAAGAUUUAUCGCCGGAGGAUUGGCCCGCGUCUGAUUAGCUUGUUGGUGAGGUAAUGGCUCACCAAGGCGACGAUCAGUAGCUGGUCUGAGAGGAUGAUCAGCCACAUUGGGACUGAGACACGGCCCAAACUCCUACGGGAGGCAGCAGUAGGGAAUGUUGGUCAAUGGGGGCAACCCUGAACCAGCCAUGCCGCGUGCAGGAUGAAGGCCCUAUGGGUACGUAAACUGCUUUGUACGGGAAGAAAUCUCGCUACGUGUAGCGGGUU